rnacentral:lncRNA from 1 species
CACUCAGAGAGACUCAGACACUCAAAACUACAUUAUGGUGUCAGAAGUUGUCAAGUUGAGCAAUUUUCAAUUUCUCUGUUGGUAUUUAAUGAUUGGAGUGUUUUGCCACUGCUUCUUGAGAAGUAAGUUUCACACAGUUUCAUUAUUAUUUUGUUUAACGAACAAGUGUGAUGUACUGAGUGUGUGUUACAACAAACUUGGGUCCUGUGGUCUCUCAUCUGUAUCCGCUGCAAUCGUGAACAUCCGUUGUUCACGUGGUUUCUUGUUACUGCGUCUGGGGUUUAAGACUUAUUCUCUAUCAAGUGACUUAGUUUUGAUUCAGUUUUUGGUACCUUCGUGUUAUUUAACAGCGCUAGCACAACUAGAUUUUGGUUUCAUCAGAAAGUCGAGCGCGGUCAUCAUGGCUACGGUACUAAAAUUUUAUGAUCCUUUCAAUUUCACGGCUCCAAACUUGGAGCCUUGGUCAAGCAUUGGAGUGGGACCAAUGGCGUCACCAGUUGACUUGUAUAUUAAGGGAACACGUAAAGAAGAAGAAGUCAUAGUCGGUGGACUUUUAUCUUUGCUUGGUAGAGAAGGAAUCAAGAUUUAUGAUACCUUAGCCUUGUCAGCUGCUAAUGCGAAGAAUAUCAAGUCAGUAUUGGAUGCACUGACAGAGUAUUUUCAACCACUUAAAAGUGAGGUGUUUGAUCAGUUCCUGUUUCAUCGUAGUCAUCAACAACCGGGUGAGCCUUUCGACGUGUGGUUAGUGGAACUUUGAAGUUUAGUUAAGCCGUGCAAUUACGGAAUUUCGGUUGUGAUUGAGUCCAUAGGGCGAGAUCAAAUCGUACUUGAAGUAGCCAAUGACCAAGUUCGAGAAAAACUUUUAUUGAAAACUAAUCUGACUUUGACUGGGGCGUGCAGUAUUGUUCGUGCGAGUGAAUCAGCAUCAUCACAGCUUACAUAGAUGGCCUCUCGUUCAGAUGUGACCGUACAUCGUCUCACUGACAGCUCGUCAAAAGGAAGGCCGCCGGCAACUCAGUCCAACAAAAGUCGUCAGAACAGUGGAAGUGGACAGCAACAGCAUUAUGUAAAUUGCCAAGGCUGCGGUCGACGUCAUAAAAAAGAACAGUGUUCUGCAACAAGUGUAGUGCAAAAGUGUAGUACAAGUGUAGAAUACUAUUCGUGUGGCCAGCUGGGACAUUUCGCAAAUAGAUAUACCAAUCUCAAGGCUAGUAAUGGUCCAGCUAAAUAUCGGCAGAUGGCGCCACAAACUACACUUCAAAACGACGUCCGUAAUACACCGGUACGUCCAGCACAGCGUGGAACAUUCAUGCAGCAGAAGAUACACGCCGUUGAAGAGAAGGAGUUGGAAGGCCAGUUUCCAGAGGCCAGUGGAUUUUUAGCAGAUCUUGUGAAUUACCAGCUUACUUUCUCAGAAGGAAAGGAAGAACAAUGGUACGAAUGAAUUAACGGUAGAUGGAGUGGCGGCAAUUCACUUUAAACUUGAUUUAGGGGCUACGUGUAACGUUUUGCCUUAUGAAUUGUAUAUCCGUGUGUGCCCAAAUGGUGGGAAUUUGGAACCAGACCCUAGUGUAUGAAACUACAGUGCAAAAGGUGGAUAUUUAGAUGUACUUGGAGUUCACAGAGGUCGUGUGGUGCGCAAAGGAGUCACUUAUGAACUUAGGUUCGUCAUUGUGAACGAACCGGGUCAACUGGCCAUUUUUGGACUCCCGGCGUGCAAGCUGAUUAGGUUGAUUGAGAGAGUUCAUACAGUUAACUUUACACAACAACAUGGUCAACCAGCGUUAGUGAAAGAAUUUUCUGAUGUGUUUAAUGGAAUUGGCAAGCUGCCUGAAAUUCAGCUCGCAACGGGUGCAGCUCAUGUGGAUCUGGUCGUCUCGGCAGCAGGUCGUCCCUUUAGUUUAGAGAAACAGGUGUUUAACAAUCUGUACCAGAUGGUGGCGGAAAACAUCAUAGUACCUGUGGUGGAACCAACAGAGUGGGUCAGCAGGAUGUUAGUUGUGGGCUAACCGGAUGGAGAUGUUCGCAUUUGUCUCGAUCCAUCCAACUUAAACAAAGCCAUUGAACGCCAGCAUUUCAUGGUGCCAACUGUAGAACAAUUAUUUGGAAACCUAGGACGGUACCGAUAUCUUCUUUUGCCGUUUGGGCCGUUUGGGCUCAUAUCUGCCCCGAGGUGUAUCUGCAAGUGAUAUCGGAGCUGUUUGGCGACCUUCAAGGAGUGCUAAUCUAUUUUGAAGACUUUUUGGUGAUGGGAGAAACGAAAGAAGAACUAGAGUGUAAUUUACAUUGAGUGUAGGAGCUACCUUGGUUGGGACAUGUGAUUGCUCAAGGAGCCCUGAAAGUUGAUCCUGUAAAAGUGGAAGCCAUUGUGAACAUGCCUGCCCCUACGGAUAAAACAGGCUUAACUCGGUUAUUAGGAAUGGAUGCGGCCUGGGUGUGGGAUGAGCAGCAAGAGAAGGCGUUGUGUGCGUUAAAACUUCCACCUCGUCGUUACCAGUUUUGAAAUGGUUUGACCUGUCCAAGCCGUUGGUAGUUUCGGUCGACGCGUCGCCGUGCUUUUGCAGGAUGGAAAACCGGUCGCGUUUUCUUCUACGUAGCUGAUAGAAAUUCCAACACGAUACUGCCAGAUAGAAAAAGAGUUGUUGGCCUAUCUUCAGUUUCAACCCGACAAACUUACGGGGUUUAAAAUUUUACUGCCAUAUUCAGACAAUUUUCCUAAAAUUAACUUAAAAUUCUACCCUAUGGAAAGAACAUAAUGAAAAUGAGCACCCCAACAAAAUU